rnacentral:lncRNA from 1 species
CGGGCGCGCGCGCGCACGCCAAACCCUUUCCUCUCGCGCGCGGGCGGAGGGAGGACGUUGAAGAGUCGUGGGCCUAGGAAAAAAGCGAUUGGUGCUGGGGCGGGCAAAGGGCAAGUGCGCGCACGCGCACGGAUGGGAGUGCGCACGCAGACUGCGCGGAGGGCGCCGGACUCUGGCUGCGGCUGUAGUUUGCUGAUCCUCGCUUGGGUACCCGCCCUUAGAGGCCCGGCGUUGAAUUCCGGGAAGUGGGAGCUGCAGGCUCGCUCCGUGCGGAGAGAUACCUGCAGACCCAGCUCUUCAAGCAGAGAUUGGCCAAGUCCAGCCAUUAUGCCCCUGUGCUGACCCACUAGCACCAUAUCCGGAUCUGCAGGUAGUGAACAUCCUGUAUGUCCUUCAUCGUCUGCCUGGACUCACGGCAGCUUCCCUUUGCUCUUUGUUUGGCAGUGGUCGCUUGGGCCUCCUGAGGAGAAGAAUUCCAAGAAGGGCCAGGGUGGGGCUGGAGCACUCCUAGAGAUAACCAGGAGGAGAGUUAAGCACACCCAUCCCCUCCUGGAGUGGUGGAUUGUCUAGUUUUCCAGUCAGAUAAUGGGAUCAACACUUUGAAAAAAAACAUGUAUUCUAGGGAUGAUGCUUCUCUAUUUUUCAUUGAUACUAUAGAAAAAUGUUUUUGAAUGUACAUACUUUUAUAUUCCAUUAAUAAGUACAAUUAUCUACCCAUAUCAUUUUUUCCUGCCAUUUCAGUAACUUAAUUUGAGAGAAGUAAAAAUGCUUUGUUUUUUUCUUUAAACAUGCACAAUCUACUUUCUAAAAUUCUGCAAGCAUUAAAAAGAAGCAAUUCUUAAAACACAUACCAUUUACCAAGAAAUCUGUUAAUGUUCAGGUGGUGCUGCAGUUUUCUAGGCAGAAUAUUUAAACCAUAUGUGCAGUAAUAGCCACAUACCUCCUUUGGACAAUAUGGAAUUACUUUCCCUAAGGUAUUUUCAAAAAAUGUCCAUGUAUUUUUUAGCAAUGGAACUUUUUUUUUUUUUUUGAAAUGGAAUUUCACUCUUCUUGCCUAGGCUGGAGUGCAAUGGGGUGAUCUUGGCUCACUGCAGCCUCCGCCUCCCAGGUUCAGGUGAUUCUCCUGCCUUUGACUCCUGAGUACCCGGGAUUACAGGCAUGUGCCAUCACACCUGGCUAAUUUUGUUCUUUUAAUAGAGAGAGGGUUUCUCCAUUUUGGUCAGGCUUGUCUCAAACUCCCAACCUCAGGUAAUCCGCUGGCCUAGGCCUCUCAAAGUGCUGGGAUUACAGGUGUGAGCCACUAUGCCUGGCCACAGUGAAACUAUUUUUAAACAAAAAUUUGCUUAGAAUCUUACAAGUUGAAGAGGUAAACAUAGCGAGGCUAGAAUUGAAGCAGGGUUGGGAUGCAGAGGCUCUUUCACUCAGCCAUUUAUCCAUUUUCCUAGAAGCCCUGUAGGUUUCACCAAGAAACCUGGGUCCCUAAGACAUCUAGUUUGGGAACUGGCAUAAGGAACAUGCACUGGAUUGGAAUCUGAAAGCUUUGUUCUGAGUUUGAGACUUGGAGCUUGUCAUUAACUUUCUCUGGUUUUUGGUUCCCUGAUGGUAUAGUAGAGGUAUAAGAUGUAGAUGAUCGGCCGGGCGCAGUGGCUUAAGCCUGUAAUCCCAGCACUUUGGGAGGCCGAGGCGGGUGGAUCACGAGGUCAAGAGAUCGAGACCAUCCUGGUCAACAUGGUGAAACCCCGUCUCUACUAAAAAUACAAAAAAUUAGCUGGGCAUGGUGGCACGUGCCUGUAAUCCCAGCUACUCAGGAGGCUGAGGCAGGAGAAUUGGCUGAACCCAGGAGGGCGAGGUUGCGGUGAGCCAAGAUCACACCAUUGCAUUCCAGCCUGAGUAGUAAGAGCAAAACUCUGUCUCAGACAAAAAAAAAAAAAAAAAAGAUGUAGAUGAUCUCUAAGGUGCUGCCCAGCUCUAAAACUUUUUGAUCUCAAGGGCUCCUGGUGAUAAAUUACUCCACAUCUGUCCAAUUAAUGCUGGAGAUUUAAUCUAAAUUCAUGAGCAAGCCAGGCUGUGCCAAAGAGGAAAUUGUUCACAACUCUGUAUUUGGCAUUGUUUUUAACACUGGAAGCAAAUUCCAUUUUUCACGUUGGCUACAUUCAUCCCUGAUUAUGAACCAAGAAUUAUUUCAACAUUGCCUAGUUUAUCUGACAUAAGUAAGGAAUGUUUAUGUCGCAUAUUUGAAAACUCUGACUUCUCUUUCAUGAGUAUCAAGUUGAACAAAACCUUGGCACAUAGUAAGCACUCAAUAAAUAGUUGUUGUUUCUUAUGACCUUGCUAAAAACCACUGAAUUGUACACUUUAAAAGAGUGAAUUUAUAGUAUAUGAAUUGUAUCUGUUUUUUAAGUUGUUGAAUGAAUGAAUUAAAUAGUUAUAUUUGUUGCAAUUUUAAAAUCCUCAUUUCUGGUGCUCAGAACAAAACAACAGCAACAACAAAACCAAAUUUAAAAAGAACAAAAGAAGUUUAAAUCAACAAGCACCACUUGUUGUCAGGUGACAUUAAUUAGGGCUGGACACAGUGGCUCACACUCAUAAUCCCAGCACUUUGAGAGGCCAAGGUGGGAAUAUUGCUUGAGCCCAGGCUUUCAAGACCAGCCUGGGCAACAUUGUGAGACCCUGUUUAUAUAAAACAACAACAACAAAAAUUUAAGCACUUUGGGAGGCCGAGGCGGGUGGAUCACGAGGUCAAGAGAUCGAGACCAUCCUGGUCAACAUGGUGAAACCCCAUCUCUACUAAAAAUACAAAAAAUUACCUGGGCAUGGUGGUACGUGUCUGUAAUCCCAGCUACUCAAGAGGCUGAGGCAGGAGAAUUGCCUAAACCCAGGAGGUGGAGGUUGCAGUGAGCCGAGAUCGCGCCAUUGCAUUCCAGCCUGGGUAGCAAGAGCGAAACUCCGUCUCAAAAAAAAAAAAAAAAGAUAUUUGGGAUAUCCUUUUUGUUUUUUUUGGAUAUGGUCUCACUUUUUCAUGCAGGCUGGAGGGCAGUGGUGCAAACACAGCUCACUGCAGCCUUGACCUCCCAGGUUCAAGCGAUCUUCCUGCCUCGGUUCCCCAAGUAGCUGGGACUACAGGCCCAUUCCACCACACCCAGCUAAAUUUUGUAUUUUUUGUAGAGAUGGGUAUUUGCCAUGUUGCCCAGGUAGUCUUGAAUCCCUAGGCUGAAGAAAUUCUCUCAUCUCAGCUUCCCAAAGUGCUAGGAUUAUAGGUAUGAGCCACUGCACCUGGCCACAUUCUUAAAUUUUAAGAUUUUGGCAAGCAUGUUACAUGAUAGAAUUUUCCUUGCUGCUUUUUCAGAGGUGAAGUAGUGACUAGAUUAACUUCACUUAUAAAUUUCUAUGGCAUUUUAUAGUAUUUUUAUGGGCUGGGUGUGGUGGCCCACACCUGUAAUCCCAGCACUUUGGGAGGUUGAGGCGGGUAGAUCACUUGAGGUCAGGAGUUGAGACCAGCCUGGCUAACAUGGUGAAACCCAUCUCUACUAAAAAUACAAAAAACUAGCCAGGUGUGGUGGUGCUCACCUGUAAUCCCUUCUACUCAGGAGGCUGAGGCAGGAGAAUUGCUUAAACCAGGGAGGUGGAGGUUGCAGGAGCCGAGAUGAUGCCAUUGAACUCCAGCCUGGGCAACAGGAGCAAAACUCCAUCUCAAAAAAAAAAAAGUUUUUAUGCUUUAUAAGUAUAAAUUUAAUGCUGUGAAUUCACGAUGCCUAAUAUGUUGCCUAUUACUUAUUUCCUUGGAUCAAUUUCCUAAAGC